ACCAUACAAUGCGGUAAACCGCAUGUGUCCUAGAAAAAUAAAGUAAACAGUUAACAAGUGUAUAUAAGGCUUAUUGAACAACGUAUUGUUCAACAGUAAGACAGCAAACUUGGCAGAUGCAAAAUUACUAAAAUAAAGUUUCUUUGUGUUUAGAUAAGUCGGCAAACAUGGUGUUUAAAGCGUGCAUUUUGUUAAUUGUUCUCCUGUCAGUCUGUGGACUUCCUCUAGCACUUGCCGCCGGUGCGUCAAAUUGCUGGGCGCCACCAGCCAUUCCUGGGCCAACAUGCAUUUCUGACACAUCUAUAUGGGGCCGUCCCGGCUUCAAAGUUCGGUAUUCAAUCAGUGUAAGCGGGAGUACACUAAUAUGUUGCACGGCAUUCCACUGUAAAGGUAGUAAUUGCAGACUGUACGAUAUCGGAUGUGGUCACGGGAGUUGGAGUACCACCGGGUUGACGUGGGGCAAUAAUCUUGCUUCACCAAAAAUGAAAUGUAAAGGCAUUCCUUUGGGAUCAUUUUACUCAUUUACGGUCUAAAAGUGCAUUACACAAACACACAAUAACUAUUUCAAUACCUGUAAAUGAUAACCCUGACUUAUGGGUACGCUUUCAAAGAAUGGUCAUAAAUAAAACAUUUCUUAUUUAUUUAAACAUGGGAAAUAGUGUUGCAAAGUUACUUUUAUCAUCACAUCACAGCACGACAAGAAAUGAAAGGAAAAGUGAAUUAUGUGAAACAAGUGAAGAUGAAUACAAUUUGAUCAUGAUUUGUCAACUAUUAAGAGUGCAGAAUAUUCCUUAUUGCACACAUCCAAGUAUGGCAAAAGUUAUAGAUCUUUUAAAAUGUCGCAAUAUUUAUAUUGAAUAAUUCAGUCUUAUUAAAAUACCAAUAGUUUACCUAGCGUAAAAAGGCUUUUCGAUAUUUUAGUGUAAAGGGAAACAACUACAGCGGCAUACAAGGCGUAUAAUCAAUACCGGCAUGAGUUGCGGUUCUCGUAUAUUUUACGUUCAAAGAUGGGGAUGCGAAUAUAGCCAUAAAUAAUUGAUAUAUUCCUUAGAUAAACAAAUAAACAAUUUUACUUUGUUAGUCUGCCCUGAUAAUAUAUAUUUUCAACGGAAGUAAACAUUUAGGAUAUUUUGUUAUUUUGUUUAAAUGUUGUUUGAAAAAUACAUUUCAUGUGUCAAUUCAUCAAAUAAUAAAUUUAUAGAAUUCA